UACGUAGGAUGCGAGCGUUAUCCGGAAUUACUGGGUGUACAGGGAGCGCAGGCGGGACUGCAAGUUGGAUGUGAAAUGCCGCAGCUUAACUGCGGAGCUGCAUCCAAAACUGUAGUUCUUGAGUGGAGUAGAGGCAAGCGGAAUUCCGAGUGUAGCGGUGAAAUGCGUAGAUAUUCGGAGGAACACCAGUGGCGAAGGCGGCUUGCUGGGCUCUAACUGACGCUGAGGCUCGAAAGUGUGGGGAGCAAACAGG
rnacentral:rRNA from 1 species